UACGUAGGUGGCAAGCGUUGUCCGGAAUUAUUGGGCGUAAAGCGCGCGCAGGCGGCCUUUUAAGUCUGAUGUGAAAGCCCCCGGCUCAACCGGGGAGGGCCAUUGGAAACUGGAAGGCUUGAGUACAGAAGAGAAGAGUGGAAUUCCACGUGUAGCGGUGAAAUGCGUAGAGAUGUGGAGGAACACCAGUGGCGAAGGCGACUCUUUGGUCUGUAACUGACGCUGAGGCGCGAAAGCGUGGGGAGCAAACAGG
rnacentral:rRNA from 1 species